GAUGAACGCUGGCGGCGUGCCUAAUACAUGCAAGUCGAGCGAACGGACGAGAAGCUUGCUUCUCUGAUGUUAGCGGCGGACGGGUGAGUAACACGUGGAUAACCUACCUAUAAGACUGGGAUAACUUCGGGAAACCGGAGCUAAUACCGGAUAAUAUUUUGAACCGCAUGGUUCAAAAGUGAAAGACGGUCUUGCUGUCACUUAUAGAUGGAUCCGCGCUGCAUUAGCUAGUUGGUAAGGUAACGGCUUACCAAGGCAACGAUGCAUAGCCGACCUGAGAGGGUGAUCGGCCACACUGGAACUGAGACACGGUCCAGACUCCUACGGGAGGCAGCAGUAGGGAAUCUUCCGCAAUGGGCGAAAGCCUGACGGAGCAAUGCCGCGUGAGUGAUGAAGGUCUUCGGAUCAUAAAACUCUGUUAUUAGGGAAGAACAUAUGUGUAAGUAACUGUGCACAUCUUGACGGUACCUAAUCAGAAAGCCACGGCUAACUACGUG
rnacentral:rRNA from 1 species